AGAUGUCUCCUUGCCCUUGUAACGAUUGAUGAGAUUCUUCCACUUACACUUGCACUGGUCAGGAGUCCUACGGUAUCCUCUUUCUCUCAGCUUUGCACUCACAAUCUCCCAAAGCGCCUUUUUCCUUUUCGCAACCGUGAAAUCUUUCUCCAGCUCCGCCCGAAUACCAAUCAAGUCCUUCGUCUCUUGUUCCGUCCACUGUUGUUGCGGCUGUGGGCCCUUCUCUUUUGACGCCGACGGCGAGUUAUCCGCCUCUGGACUCAGCAUUGUUGAUGCCAUCGCCAUGCUUAUUGGCCGGAGAUAAUCGAUGUUCACGCUGCCAAAUAUCGGAAACAUUAAUCUUAUCGGGAUCCGUAUUAGGGUUUUCCAGACUCCUUCGCUCUC
rnacentral:misc_RNA from 1 species